AUGCAUGCGCAGAGGGUGAGCGGCGAGCAGGCGGGCCCGGCGAUGCCGUGCGAGAUCGCGGCGGACGACAUGCCGGCGGCGAGGAACGGGCACUACAGGCCGGGCAAGGCGGUGACGGCGUCGGUGUACCGCGCCAAGGUGGCCGGCCACUCGCGGGUGGUGACGGUGUCGUGGUCGCGGGACCUGCUGUCGCACGCCUUCGCCGUCGCCAUCUCCGGCGCGGACGGCGCGUCGGCGGAGUGCCGUGUCGACCUGCGGCCGUGGCAGUUCUGGCGGCGCGCGGGGUCCCGGCGCGUGGACCUGGGCGGCGCCACGGUGCGCGUGCUCUGGGACCUGCGCCGCGCGCGCUGGCACGGCGCCGGCGCGGGCCUCCCGGACCCGCGCGCCGGGUACUACGUCGCCGUGGAGGCCGGCGGCGAGGUGGCGCUGGUGCUCGGCGACCUCCGCAAGGCGGCGCUCCGGCGCGCGUCGCCCAGCGCCCCGCCCGCGCUCGCCGCCGUCCCCGUCGCGCGCAGGGAGCACGUGUUCGGCCGGCGGAGGUUCGCGGCCAAGGCGCGGUUCCACGACCAGGGCGCCGUCCACGACGUGGCCAUCGACGUCGGCGGCGAGGACGACAUGGAGAUGGCCAUCGCCAUCGACGGCGAGGAGGCGGUCGCCGUCAAGCACCUGCAGUGGAAGUUCCGGGGCAACCAGUCCGUCACCUUCGGCCGGGCCAAGGUGGAGGUGUACUGGGACGUGCACGACUGGCUCUUCGCGGGCGCCGCCGGCGGCGCCCGCCCGGCGCUCUUCAUCUUCCGCCCCAUCGUGUUGUCCAGCGCGUCCGUGGGGGCCUCCACGCCGCUCCUCGCCGGCGUCGACGGCGCCGCGGGCGCCACCGGGUUCUGCCUCUACCUCUACGCCUGGAAGCUCGACUGA
rnacentral:rRNA from 1 species